rnacentral:rRNA from 1 species
UGGGGAAUAUUGGACAAUGGGCGCAAGCCUGAUCCAGCCAUGCCGCGUGAGUGAUGAAGGCCUUAGGGUUGUAAAGCUCUUUUACCAGGGAUGAUAAUGACAGUACCUGGAGAAUAAGCUCCGGCUAACUCCGUGCCAGCAGCCGCGGUAAUACGGAGGGAGCUAGCGUUGUUCGGAAUUACUGGGCGUAAAGCGUACGUAGGCGGUGACUCAAGUCAGAGGUGAAAGCCUGGAGCUCAACUCCAGAACUGCCUUUGAAACUAGGUCGCUAGAAUCACGGAGAGGUGAGUGGAAUUCCGAGUGUAGAGGUGAAAUUCGUAGAUAUUCGGAAGAACACCAGUGGCGAAGGCGGCUCACUGGACGUGUAUUGACGCUGAGGUACGAAAGCGUGGGGAGCAAACAGGAUUAGAUACCCACGUAGUCCCUGAGCGGGCUGGCAAGGCGCAU